GCAAGAUCCGGCGGCGGGAAGGAUCGUGGGAAGGCGAUCGUCGUGUCCUCCGCUGGUGAUGGCGACGGCGCAACCACCACCGGCAUCGGUAACAAUUGGGCAAGACCUAGCCAUGGGUUAAAAGGCAUCUUCGUCUCCGCCGCUGCUGACGACUCCACCCUCGCAAACGGUAACCGUGCAUCCGACGCUUCCACUCUGGACGGUAUUCUCUCCGUCGUCAUUCCCAAGGGCGGCAUAGGUCCUGAGGGCGGCAACCUGAGCCCUGUUGCUCCCGCCGGAGGUGUCUCGAUCGCCAAAUCCAUUACACAUGGA
rnacentral:misc_RNA from 1 species